ensembl:snRNA U6 U6 spliceosomal RNA
AUGCUUACUGCAGCAGCACAUAUACUAAAAUUGGAAUGAUAUAGAGAUUUGCAAGGCCCCUGCAUAAGGAUGACACACAAAUUCAUGAAGUGUUCCAUAUUUUU